rnacentral:rRNA from 1 species
CCCUUAGAUGUUCUGGGCUGCACGCGCGCUACACUGACGCACCCAACGGGUUUACGACCUUGCCUGGAAAGGUUGGGUAAUCCUACAAAAAUGCGUCGUGGUGGGGACAGAUUACUGCAAUAACUAAUCUUCAACGAGGAAUUCCUAGUAAGCGCGAGUCAUAAGCUCGCGUUGAUUACGUCCCUGCCCUUUGUACACACCGCCCGUCGCUACUACCGAUUGAACGGUUUAGUGAGGGCCUCGGAUUGGUCUCGGCCCGCUCUUUACCGGGCGGCGCCGUUGGUCGAGAAGACGCUCGAACUUGAUCGUUUAGAGGAAGUAAAAGUCGUAACA